ensembl:lncRNA
UGAAUCUAAACUUCCUGUCCGUCCAGAGGUCCUUGCAUUUUGAGUGUAGUCUAGAGUGACAUAAACCAACUGCUCUGUCUGGCAAUGAGAAUCGAGUGUGGGUUUAGGGUGACUUGAAAUCCAGCCCUGUCUCUCCAGGCAGUUUGGAUGGGUGCUUUUCAGAUUUAUCUGAAUUGCAUGAGGACAAGAUGGCAGCAGAGGAGCACUCUGACAAAAUGACAUCUGACAUGGAAGCACAGAUAAAGCAAAGGUGUGGAACUGAAUUGGUCCAUGCAGACAUUCGUCGAUGCUUGUUGAACAUUUAUGGAAACCAGACAGUGCAUAUGAGCACAACGAGGAGAUGGUUGGCGUGUUACAGCAGUAAUGACAGCAACAUGAAAGACAAGCCACAUUCCAGACAAUGCACAGCUGUCACACUACAAAAUGAAGAGCAUCUCAAUCAGUUCACCCACAUGUUUUUGGCAGAUUACGACCAGGGAAUUGUGUAUGGAGCUGAAUAUUGAUGUCAAUGCUUUGGAAAUGGUGGCAGCAAUGUUGGAAUAUCACAAAGAUAGUGCCAAGUGGUUUCUAUGAAUACUCAAGUGGGAACGGAAAGAGCAACAUAUGCAAGUUUGUCAGGACCUAUGGAACAAUACGAGAAUAGAGGUAACAGUUUUCAGAACACUUGUGUGCAAACAUAAUGGAACAGGCAAGAGUUAGUAGUCUUGCAUAAGGUGGUCUUGUAUGCCCGCCCCCCACAACCACAGUGCUCCAUGACCACCAUGUGAAGGCGGAAGCAUGGCCGGUAUGGCAAGUGCAUGGCAUGUGAUACUGAACUCUGUCCACCUGGCAACUUCUCCAGGCCCAAUUGGAAGAAACCAUCGUAUGGCAUAAAAGUCAUUGCCAACCAUACAGCCAGCAGCACUCACCCCAUCACAUCCUCAACCACCCUGGAAGGGGAAGAAGGAUGGACCCUCUGGACUUGCUUUUCUUCCUUUUUUUUUUUUUAUCUCUUUCCUUUUCUUCUGUUUUCUUUUUUCUCUCUCAUUUGCCCUUCUUUUAAUAAAUAAAGGCACGUUCUUGCUUGAUCAACAACUUGACUCCAUCCUGAGUCUUAAUUUGGAGGGAUUGGGCUCAGUACAGUGAACCACAAACUUCUUCAGCUUGCAACACAUAUGAAUUCUCCAUUGAAGAAAAAUUCAAGACACAGCUCUCAGCCUGCAAAGUGAUGUGCAGUCUUUUGGGAUAGGAAAGAGAUGAUUCUUCCAGGCAAACUGACAGCUACAUCAUGACUGACUAUGCUGAAGGCUCAAAAUUCCAGACUCAGGCCAGAGAAGAAGACAAUCUUUCUCUUGCAAUAUGACAACACCAGCCUCUAAAACAGCCUCAAGACCGUGGAGUGUACUGUCAACCCUGGCUGGACAGUUCUACCACAUCCACUGUAUAGUCCAUAUUUGAUUCCUCCCGAUUUCCAUGUGUUUGGGCUGAAGAAAGAUGGACAGCUUGGGCAACAUUUUCCUAGCAAAAAUGCUGUCAUAGCAGUAACACUUGCUGAUCUUGAAAUAUGAGCACUGAAGACAAGAUACCGUAUCUUGCUGAAUGUCAGUGUCACCAAAUAAAACUUCUGUUA